GAAACUUGUUGUUCAACCUACGAUGGCACAGCUGUAUUGGAAUGUAUCUGCUAUUUGUAUUUCCAGCUAAGUCUCCUCCUGUUCCCUGUUUAAGAGGUGAUGACUACUCCACUCCACUACCAUUGUUAACUCUCUCCUGACAUGAACUGAAGCCACGUCUCAUGUGCCCGCUCAUCCACUGGCACAUUGAAUUUCCUCUCAAGGCACUUCAAGUCCUGUCCUGCACUGAAGUCAAGCCUCUGAACACCUCAACUCGUGCCUCAUACCUUGAUUCACAACACUGUGAGUGGGAACCAGUGCGUCCAGUGUGCGGGCUUGCUAACGGUGAGCCCAUAACGGUUUGGUGUAAUGUGGCCCAUCCUGCUCUCCUGAAUUGGCACCGGGACCUGUCCUGGAUGGUCGCCCACGAGAUCCU
rnacentral:lncRNA from 1 species